rnacentral:lncRNA from 1 species
CGUCAAGCAGCCGUCCUCAGAGAUUUUCUAGCCACCUGGGAUGCCCACUUUAGUGUCCUAUGUACACACCUGGCUUAUAUCCUUCACAGUGGAAAUUUUCUUGGUGUCUACCAGGAUGUGGCCUUCACCUGUGACCAUGAGGCCCAGCUGAGAGCAGCUCAGCUCGGUGCAGCCUUCUGUAAUGGGGAGAGACACAGUCAAAGAAAGAAACAUCCCAGUCGCCCAGCUCCAGUGUCAGCUUCAUGCAGUAGGCCAGCGACUGGAGCCAGAUGUGAGCUGAGCCCAAGCGGACGACCUCGACAGGAUCCCAGAAAGGGUCGUCAUCUCGAGCCACAGGGCCGUGAUCUCCAUCUAGAAAGCGCUGGUAAAGUUCCUGCAUUAGGAAUUUCCUAUUGAUGAACUUGGCUUUUGACCAUAUCCACACCUGGAAACACAGAGGAAAGCAGAGAGACACAGUGUGAAAUCGCUGCUCUCAGAUCAGCACACGGGAGAGGCCAGCAGUCAGGAGGGGGCUCACCGAGUUUGUCUGCACUCGCUCCCUCCGCAGCCGCCCUCUCCAGCUGGAAGAAGUCGUAAUCGAACCUGCUCAGGUCCUCACUGCCCCACUCCGAAGGAAACCCCACGUACAGUGACCGUCACUUUACCGUCGGCAUUUGUGAAGGAAGCGUGUUUAUCUGAAAUUCUAAGAAGAUGAGAGUCAAAGACACCCAGCAAACGGCGGUUUCCGUGAGCAGGUAGGCUGACCUUUCUCAUGUGCACAGGAGGGAAGGUCUACAGCUGCGGAGGAUGGCAGGUGGCAUCUCGGGGCCUCCUGUGUGCUGUGGCCCAUGAUGCAUGGGGACAGCAGCGGGCGCAGAAGGACCCUGCCCUUGGGGAGCACGGGGAGCUGGGAGACAGCAGGCAAGGGCUUCAUUAACAGAACGAACACCAGCUGAGGGCCUAGCACUGCGGGGAGCCGGCCAAGGCCACACUGGAGUCCUCCCGCUCCCAGGCCAGCGGGAUGGGGUGGUGGGAAGAUGGCAGCAAGCAAGCUUCAGAAGAGACGCUCAGGAGGCGACUCUUAACGAGCCUCAC